GCCGGAGCUUCUCCUCUCUCCGUCUACGCGGUGCGAGUGUGCCGUGUGCGCCAGUGCGCCCGCAAGCCCGAAAGUUCGCGCUCCGCCACGCAGCCCAAGCUCUCUCUACCCGCGCGCUGAUCGGCCACGUUCGUCAGGCCGGGAGCCCCCAACGCAAAAAGAGGCAUCGGGGCCGCGCGCGCGAGCCAAGAAAAAGGACGAGAGAAGGAACAAUUUGUUUAAAAGUAUAUUUAGAAAAAAGGAAAAGAACGCUUUUUUUUUUGUUUCAAAACGGAAAGAAAAUUUUCUCGUGACGGAAGGAAAAGGUGCCGGGGAGAGGAGGACUUUCUUAACGCGGCUCGCGACGUUGUAUAGAUACUGUGAUGUUAAAAGCUCGCGCGAGAGCUUGCAGUGAGAGAGAAUCGAAGAGGAUCGUCCUACCGGCUUCGAGUGCGCCGAUGUUGUGAACGUCUUCUUACCCGUCCUCGUCCUCCGAACUUGUCUUCUUGGGAUCGGCGCAACAAACAGAUUGACGAAUGACGCCGUAGCAGAGAGCUGGUUGGUGCGCGGAUACCGGGACGCAAGAGAGGGGACGGCACCUUUCGCACCGCCACGGCAACGAACAACACGUAUCGGAGAAUUGCGGCCACGAAAAUCGAGACGAGGGAGCGAGGGGCACUUAGCCCUUUGGCGAGCUCGAAGGAUGCA